rnacentral:rRNA from 1 species
UGGGGAAUUUUCCGCAAUGGGCGAAAGCCUGACGGAGCAAUGCCGUGUGGAGGUGGAAGGCCUACGGGUCGUCAACUUCUUUUCUCGGAGAAGAAACAAUGACGGUAUCUGAGGAAUAAGCAUCGGCUAACUCUGUGCCAG